CGGGGGGCUGACUUUCACUUUCGGGUCCCCUUUCCGCUUGCUGUACAGACUGCUGCCACGCCAGCUGCCUAGGUCACUCUUCUAUUCCAGGAAAAGCACACUACUUGCUUUAGCCAGAAGACCAUGGGGAUGGACACUCAGCAUCUCUGUAAUCAAUCUGUAAAAGCAGUAUGUUAGCCUUGGUGAUGGUUAGCUUUUGUGAUCAACUUGACAGUCUACAGACACCUGGGAGGAGAGCCUUCGUGAGACAUCAUCUGCUUUGUGUUGGCCUAGGGUGUGUCUGUGGGACAUUACCUUAUACUAAUGAUGUAGAAAGAGGCAGUCCACAGUGGGCAGCACCUCUCUCAAGGUGGGUACCCUCAACAGUGUAGAGAAAUCUAUCUGAGCAAGCGAGUAAACAUGCAUGCUUCGGUUCUCUCUGUUACAGCUAGCUGCUUCCAGUUCCUGCCUUGACUUCUCUACCAUGUGGAUUGUAAGGUGGAGUUGUGAGCCAAAUAAACUACUUUCCCCCAAGUUA
rnacentral:lncRNA from 1 species